rnacentral:rRNA from 1 species
GACGAACGCUGGCGGCGUGCUUAACACAUGCAAGUCGAACGGAAAGGCCUCUUUCGGGGGGUACUCGAGUGGCGAACGGGUGAGUAACACGUGAGUAACCUGCCCUUGACUUUGGGAUAACUUCAGGAAACUGGGGCUAAUACCGGAUAGGAGCUCCUGCUGCAUGGUGGGGUUGGAAAGUUUCGGCGGUUGGGGAUGGACUCGCGGCUUAUCAGCUUGUUGGUGGGGUAGUGGCUUACCAAGGCUUUGACGGGUAGCCGGCCUGAGAGGGUGACCGGCCACGUGGGUAAUGAGGUACGGCGCAGACUCCCAUGGGGGGCAGCGGGGGGGAAUAGGGCACAAGGGUCGGAGGUGUGAGGCAGCACGGCCGCGUGCGGGGUGAGGUCUUUCGGGUGGGAAACAGAGUGCUCCGGUGACGAAGGGGGAAUGACGGUAAUAGGUAAGGAAGCAACGGCUAACUACGUG